GGAAGAGAGAAAGAAAGAAAAGGGAAGGAGGAAGAAAAUAAGAAGAGAAGAGAGACGAAGGAAGGAGAGAAAGAAAGAAAGAAAGAAAGGAAGGAAUGAAGGAAGGAAGAGAGAAGGAAAGAAAGAAGAAGGGAAGGAAAAAGUAAAAGAAGGGAAGGAAAGAAGGAAGGAAGAAAGAGAGAAAGGAAGGAAGGAGGUAAGGAAGGGGGAGAGAAAGAGAGAGAAAGAGAAAGGAAGGAAAGAAGGAAGGAAGGAAGGAAGGACGGGAUAAAUACAGCCUGCCUGGUCCCACUACCAGGGAUCUCACCCACUAAUGGCCCCAACCUGCCUCCCUGAUACUCCCCCACCCUCAAACUCUGGUCUCAUGCCCUGAAGACAGCCUUGGAGUUCUCCAAUCUCCCACCUGCUUGCCUCCCCACUCCCCCCAUACCCCCUCUUAGGGAAGGGCAGGCCUGGGCACAGUGACUUCAGGACUUGGCUCUUCCUGGGCAUUCCCGGGCUCACCUCCUGGCCACCCAGAUGGUGCCCAGCCCAGAGAGGCAGCUCCUGGCCUGUCCCCCGCAGAUAGCCUGAUAUUGGGCAGGGUAGGGCAGGGCAAAGAGGAGGGGGAGGACCCUGCUCACGGGGCAUCCCACAACCAUCUCUCAACCUGGCCUCUUGCCUGGCUGUGGGCAUCCAGAUUCCUUGAGAGUCUGCCCUUAACGCGUUUCCAGGGCUUUGCUUAACGUGCUUCUAGCUCCCUUCAAUGCUAUUAUUUGUAGCAAGGCCAAGCGGGAGCCUCCUCUCCCCUCACCCAGGCCCCUCUCCCCUACAGUUACACAAGAAUGUAGGCACCUGCAGCGAAAACCACCAAAAGCGUUUUCUUAGCUGCAGGGCCUCGCCCUGGGGCCCCACUGAGCAGAACAACCAUUUGCGCAGCUCCCUUCUCCUUCUGGCUCAUGAGCUGAUAUCUCAGACUCAACCUUGGCAUUCCCCUUCCUUGUCGAGUUUCAGGUCCUGGAAGAUUUGAAAAGGGCCCUCCUCUUUGCAGUCAAACAACUUAAUUCGAAACUCCCAUGCAAAGUCAACUACUUGGUCUUGUGGCCUUUUCUUCCCUCUGGGAUAGCAAGAGGCAUGGCAGGACUGUCUGCAGGAACAAGGGGUGUGAGUGGUCAGAGAGCCCGGGGAGCCAAGAUUCCGUGGGGCCCAGAAACUGCGGUGUCAGCUGGACAGGAUUUAGCACAGCAAGGGCAGUAAGACUGGUGUGGCUGGAUGUGUCUGCCCUUUCGAAGCCAAAGGAAGGUAUCCGAUUGACCAGAGCCUGGAGGAGAGAGCCUGGGAACUGCUGCUAGAACCUCAGAGAGGCAACAGAGGGUUCUGGACCUGGCUCCCUCUCCUCCCAGUAAGGACCAUAAGCACUGUAGAUGCUAGGAUGAAACCAAGGUGCCUUUUGCCAAAUUUGAGUUGUUACCAACCAAGCAGCUCUGUCAGGGAAGCAUUUUGUCUCGCAACUCCUUCGUUUUUGCAUGUUUUCAUCCCAUUUCCUCUAAACCUUCUGGCUUCUAAACCACUAAGGCCCCCUUUCUCCCAGGGACUCCAUCUUCACAUCUUCAAACCUCUACUGUUGGCUGGGUGCGGUGGCUCACGCCUGUAAUCCCAGCACUUUGGGAGGCCGAGGCGGGUGGACCAUGAGGUCAGGUGUUUGAGACCAGCCUGGACAACACAGUGAAACUCCUUCUCUACUAAAAAUACAAAAAAUUAGCCAGGGGUGGUGGCAGGUGCCUGUAAUUCCAGCUACUUGGGAGGCUGAGGCAGGAGAAUCGCUUGAACCUGGGAAGAGGAGGUUGCAGUGAGCUGAGAUCACGUCGCGCCAUUGCACUCCAGCCUGGGUGACAGUGCGAGACUCCGUUUCAAACAAAACAAAACAAAAAAACCCUCUACUGUUUUCCUCUCUCCUUCUGCUCCUGCCCAGCCCAGGUUGCAUUCCUUUCCCUUUAGCUUUCAGGGCCCAAGCCUUCUGCUGGCCUCCUUUCUGGAGAAAAGAAGGAAGAGAGGAGGCUGAGGACAUGAAGCUGAGACGCCUGCAGGCUGCAUGCGGAGACCCUCGUGUUGCCAUCUCCUGCAGCAGCAGCGCAGAGUCAGAAGGGCCACCUACUGAGGUGUGGCUCUUCCAUCUUGAGGUCAUAGAGGAACUGAGGCAGGAGGGAGAGGGACCAGAAUGCCACAGGGAUCACCCAGCCAGCCCGCUCGUAUAGCGGCCACUUUUCAAGAGUGAUUUCUUCGGCUUCUUUCCUUCCACAGGCCCGAGAAACCACCCACACUCCCCUGAUCGGCUGGAACCCAGGGGAGCCGGCCUUAAUCCUGGCCUCCCUGGGGCUCAAAAGAAUCUGGAUCACAACAGGAUGCCAGAGAAGAGGUGGCCAAGAGAACCCAGCGGCGUCGUUCUCAUUACAGGGGCCUCCUCAGCGAAGACCCCUCACUCUCUUCUGGCUUUCCUCUCUGGUUUCCUCACUGACGUCAUAAAAAUUUGUAUUCAUUCAUUCAAUAAAUACUUAUUGAGAACAUGCCCAAAGUACUGGGGUAAUUAAGAGUGGGAGACAAGGAGGCAAAAAUGAGUCAGCUGUGAACUUUGCCUGCGGAAGGCUGAGACCGGCAGAUUCCUGUCCAGGUUCUGAAACUUACUAGUUCUGUGACCUUAGCUACGUCAGCUCACUUUUCUGAUUCCCAGUUUACUUGUCUGAAAAACUAGGAUGAUAAUCACAGAUUGCUGGUGAGAGACUGACUCUACAAAUGGCCAGCGGCCAGACCAGACAUAAAAAUAGAUCUCUGACCCACAAUCUGCAGCAACCAGCCCAGGAAGCCCCGCCAUCCUCUACAACGACCAGCCCAGGAAGC
rnacentral:lncRNA from 1 species